UUUCCCUACGUGAUUGGAGUCGGACGAAGUUAAAUGUGUUGUGCGGUUUACUGGUUUGACCAGAAACAAUUUUUGUCUUUAAAAUGGCUCUUCUGAACCGUGAUUUGCCCUGCAAAUUUCCCUGCGAUUCCGCUACCUAGCAUAUCGCAUCAAAGGGAAUAUUUCGCAGAGGCAAUAUCACGUUUUAAAAACAUAAGUUUUAUCAUAACACUAAGGGAAAUUAGGAUAUAAGAUUUUUAAUGGAAAAUGACGUUUUCACCAUGAAUCCACAUGUGAACAGAUAGAAGUUAGCAGAAGAUUCCGGAGCAACAUGUUAUGAAUAAGGAUACGAAUAUGGGAUAUUAAAAACUGGCUAACAGAUUUCUAGCAAUUUGAUUUGAUGAAAAAGUUAUUUGUAUGUAAUUCCAACAGAAUGUAAUAAAAGUUAAUUCACGAAAUAAAGUUGGUAAUUCAUUCGAUCAUA